CCUACGGGUGGCAGCAGUAGGGAAUCUUCCACAAUGGGCGAAAGCCUGAUGGAGCAACGCCGCGUGGGUGAAGAAGGUCUUCGGAUCGUAAAACCCUGUUGUUAGAGAAGAAAGUGCGUGAGAGUAACUGUUCACGUUUCGACGGUAUCUAACCAGAAAGCCACGGCUAACUACGUGCCGGCAGCCGCGGUCAUACGUAGGAUCCGAGCAUUAUCCGGAGUGACUGGGUGUAAAGAGUUGCGUAGGUGGCAUAAUAAGUAGCUAGUGAAAUCUGGUGGCUCAACCAUUCAGACUAUUAGCUAAACUGUUAAGCUCGAGACCGUUAGGGGUAACUGGAAUUUCUAGUGUAGGAGUGAAAUCCGUAGAUAUUAGAAGGAACACCAAUAGCGUAGGCAGGUUGCUGGGACGGUUCUGACACUAAGGCACGAAAGCGUAGGGAGCAAACGGGAUUAGAUACCCCUGUAGUC
rnacentral:rRNA from 1 species